rnacentral:rRNA from 1 species
UGGAUCCAGAUUUGAUUAUGGCUCAGGACGAACGCUGGCGGCGUGCCUAACACAUGCAAGUCGAACGGAGUACCCGAUACGGAGGCUUCGGCUAAAGUAACGGAAUACUUAGUGGCGGACGGGUGAGUAACGCGUGAGCAACCUGCCUUUAAGAGGGGGAUAACAUACCGAAAGGUAUGCUAAUACCGCAUAAUAUAUUGAGAUCGCAUGGUCAUAAUAUCAAAGAAUUAUCGCUUAAAGAUGGGCUCGCGUCCGAUUAGAUAGUUGGUGAGGUAAGGGCUCACCAAGUCAACGAUCGGUAGCCGGACUGAGAGGUUGAACGGCCACAUUGGGACUGAGACACGGCCCAGACUCCUACGGGAGGCAGCAGUGGGGGAUAUUGCGCAAUGGGGGGAACCCUGACGCAGCAACGCCGCGUGAAGGAAGAAGGUCUUCGGAUUGUAAACUUUUGUCUUAUGGGACGAAGAAAGUGACGGUACCAUAGGAGGAAGCCACGGCUAACUACGUGCCAGCAGCCGCGGUAAUACGUAGGUGGCAAGCGUUGUCCGGAAUUACUGGGUGUAAAGGGCGUGUAGGCGGGGCGUUAAGUCGGAUGUGAAAUACCCGGGCUCAACUUGGGUGCUGCAUUUGAAACUGACGUUCUUGAGUGCGGGAGAGGAAAGCGGAAUUCCUAGUGUAGCGGUGAAAUGCGUAGAUAUUAGGAGGAACACCAGUGGCGAAGGCGGCUUUCUGGACUGUAACUGACGCUGAGGCGCGAAAGCGUGGGGAGCAAACAGGAUUAGAUACCCCGGUAGUCCACGCUGUAAACGAUGAUUACUAGGUGUGGGAGGUAUCGACCCCUUCCGUGCCGCAGUUAACACAAUAAGUAAUCCACCUGGGGAGUACGGCCGCAAGGUUGCAACUCAAAAG